rnacentral:piRNA from 1 species
UCAACAUUGAAACUUACCUCUUCGCUU